rnacentral:lncRNA from 1 species
UCCAGAAGCACAGGCCAGGAGGUAGCCCAGAGCAUGCCAGGCACAGUGGAGGGAGCCCUGAGCAUCUUCAGAAGCAUGCCCUUGGUGGGAGCCUGGAGCACCUCCCCAGAGCCAGGGGAACAAGCCCAGAGCAUCUCAAACAACAUUACGGGGGCAGCCCUGACCACAAACAUGCAGGUGGCGGUGGAGGCAGCGGUGGGGGCAGCAGGGAGGGCACCCUCCGGCGGCCUGCUCAAGAGGAUUCAUCACCCCAUCACCGGAAUGUCUACAGUGGCAUGAAUGAAUCAACCCUGUCCUAUGUUAGGCAGCUGGAGGCCAGAGUCAGACAGCUGGAAGAAGAAAAUCGCAUGCUGCCCCAGGCCACCCAGAAUAGAAGUCAACCUCCAACUAGAAACAGCUCAAAUAUGGAGAAAGGCUGGGGGCCCAGAGCCCGGCGGGUCUUGCAGUGGUGGCAAGGGUGCCGAGGAAUAGGAAGAUGCCUGCCCUCUCUCCCGGGUUCUUUUAGGUUGUCAUCAGGGGCUGAUGGGAAUAACAGUUCACCCAACUCUCCAGCUAGCUUCAGUGGACAUACCACACCUUCUCAGCAGCCUGAACCUGUGGUACAUUCUCUUAAGGUUGUGUGGAGGAAACUUGGAGAUGCUGCAGGCUCGUGUCCUGGAAUUAGGCAACAUCUGUCAGGAAACCAGUACAAAGGGCCUAUGUGAGAAGCAGUGCCUUCAAACAUGACACCGCCACUACCAGACGUAGAAGAAAGAGA